rnacentral:rRNA from 1 species
CCUACGGGAGGCAGCAGUGAGGAAUAUUGGUCAAUGGCCGGAAGGCUGAACCAGCCAUGCCGCGUGAAGGUCGGUGCCCUAUGGGCGUUAAACUUCUUUUGUGCGGGAGCAAUAAUGGUCACGUUUGGCCAGAAGCGAGUGCCGUAGAAGUAAGCAUCGGCUAACUCCGUGCCAGCGGCCGCGGGAAUACGGGGGAGGCAAGCGUUAUCCGGAGUUAUUGGGGUUAAAGGGUGCGUAGGCUGGGAGGUAAGUCAGCGGUGAAAUGCCCCCGCGCAACGGGGUGAAGUGCCAUUGAUACUGCCUUGCUGGAAUGCGGAUGCGGUGGGCGGAAUGUGUGGUGUAGCGGUGAAAUGCAUAGAUAUCACACAGAACACCGAUUGCGAAGGCAUCUUACGAAUCCGCGAUUGACGCUGAUGCACGAAAGCGUGGGUAUCAAACAGGAUUAGAUACCCCGGUAGUC